rnacentral:rRNA from 1 species
CAGGCUUAACACAUGCAAGUCGAGGGGCAGCAUUUUAGUUUGCUUGCAAACUGAAGAUGGCGACCGGCGCACGGGUGAGUAACACGUAUCCAACCUGCCGAUAACUCCGGAAUAGCCUUUCGAAAGAAAGAUUAAUACCGGAUAGCAUACGAAUAUCGCAUGAUAUUUUUAUUAAAGAAUUUCGGUUAUCGAUGGGGAUGCGUUCCAUUAGUUUGUUGGCGGGGUAACGGCCCACCAAGACAACGAUGGAUAGGGGUUCUGAGAGGAAGGUCCCCCACAUUGGAACUGAGACACGGUCCAAACUCCUACGGGAGGCAGCAGUGAGGAAUAUUGGUCAAUGGGCGAGAGCCUGAACCAGCCAAGUAGCGUGAAGGAUGAAGGCUCUAUGGGUCGUAAACUUCUUUUAUAUGGGAAUAAAGUUUUCCACGUGUGGAAUUUUGUAUGUACCAUAUGAAUAAGGAUCGGCUAACUCCGUGCCAGCAGCCGCGGUAAUACGGAGGAUCCGAGCGUUAUCCGGAUUUAUUGGGUUUAAAGGGAGCGUAGGUGGAUUGUUAAGUCAGUUGUGAAAGUUUGCGGCUCAACCGUAAAAUUGCAGUUGAAACUGGCAGUCUUGAGUACAGUAGAGGUGGGCGGAAUUCGUGGUGUAGCGGUGAAAUGCUUAGAUAUCACGAAGAACUCCGAUUGCGAAGGCAGCUCACUAGACUGUCACUGACACUGAUGCUCGAAAGUGUGGGUAUCAAACAGGAUUAGAUACCCUGGUAGUCCACACAGUAAACGAUGAAUACUCGCUGUUUGCGAUAUACAGUAAGCGGCCAAGCGAAAGCAUUAAGUAUUCCACCUGGGGAGUACGCCGGCAACGGUGAAACUCAAAGGAAUUGACGGGGGCCCGCACAAGCGGAGGAACAUGUGGUUUAAUUCGAUGAUACGCGAGGAACCUUACCCGGGCUUAAAUUGCAACAGAAUAUAUUGGAAACAGUAUAGCCGUAAGGCUGUUGUGAAGGUGCUGCAUGGUUGUCGUCAGCUCGUGCCGUGAGGUGUCGGCUUAAGUGCCAUAACGAGCGCAACCCUUAUCUUUAGUUACUAACAGGUGAUGCUGAGGACUCUAGAGAGACUGCCGUCGUAAGAUGUGAGGAAGGUGGGGAUGACGUCAAAUCAGCACGGCCCUUACGUCCGGGGCUACACACGUGUUACAAUGGGGGGUACAGAAGGCGGCUACCUGGUGACAGGAUGCUAAUCCCAAAAACCUCUCUCAGUUCGGAUCGAAGUCUGCAACCCGACUUCGUGAAGCUGGAUUCGCUAGUAAUCGCGCAUCAGCCAUGGCGCGGUGAAUACGUUCCCGGGCCUUGUACACACCGCCCGUCAAGCCAUGAAAGCCGGGGGUACCUGAAGUACGUAACCGCAAGGAGCGUCCUAGGGUAAAACUGGUAAUUGGGGCUAAGUCGUA